rnacentral:rRNA from 1 species
UGAGGAACAUAACUUUCGGCGGGGGAUAGCCGGCCCAACGGCCGGGUAAUACCGCGUACGACCACUUUGGGACAUCCCUCGGUGGUGAAAGCAGCAAUGCGCCGAUGGAGUGCCUCGCGGCCUAUCAGCUAGUUGGUGAGGUAACGGCUCACCAAGGCGACGACGGGUAGCUGGUCUGAGAGGAUGGCCAGCCACAGUUGGGACUGAGACACGGCCCAGACUUCCCGUACGGGGAGGNAGCG